GACGAACGCUGGCGGCGUGCUUAACACAUGCAAGUCGAACGGAAAGGCCCUGCUUUUGUGGUGUUCUCGAGUGGCGAACGGGUGAGUAACACGUGAGUAACCUGCCCUUGUCUUUGGGAUAACAUCAGGAAACUGGGGCUACUACCGGAUAGGAGCUCCUGCUGCAUGGUGGGGGUUGGAAAGUUUCGGCGGUUGGGGAUGGACUCGCGGCUUAUCAGCUUGUUGGUGGGGUAGUGGCUUACCAAGGGUUUGACGGGUAGCCGGCAUGAGAGGGUGACCGGCCACAUUGGGACUGAGAGACGGCCCAGACUGCUACGGGAGGCAGCAGGGGGGAAUAUUGCACAAUGGGCGGAAGCCUGAUGCAGCAACGCCGCGUGCGGGAUGACGGCCUUCGGGUUGUAAACCGCUUUCGCCUGUGACGAAGCGGGAGUGACGGUAAUGGGUAAAGAAGCACCGGCUAACUACGUG
rnacentral:rRNA from 1 species